CGGACGCUGCCCGGUACGUUAGGCCGCUAUAUUUCUGGGGCCAACUAUCUAACCCUCGGGAGCUGUCCCUGCCGGGAUCGUGGUCUCGGUAUACGGCGCCCACCUAAACUUGAGGGCCUUAGAGAAUAAGUAUCGCCGACGGCCGGUUGGCUCCGU
rnacentral:other from 1 species